UACGUAGGUGGCAAGCGUUGUCCGGAUUUAUUGGGCGUAAAGAGCGUGUAGGCGGCUGGGCAGGUCUGCUGUGAAAACUCGAGGCUCAACCUCGAGACGUCGGCGGAAACCCUCCAGCUAGAGUCCGGAAGAGGAGAGUGGAAUUCCUGGUGUAGCGGUGAAAUGCGCAGAUAUCAGGAAGAACACCCGUGGCGAAAGCAGCUCUCUGGGACGGUACUGACGCUGAGACGCGAAAGCGUGGGGAGCGAACAGG
rnacentral:rRNA from 1 species